UUUUAAAUGGCCGCAGUAUUUUGACUGUGCAAAGGUAGCAUAAUCAUUAGUUUUUUAAUUAAAAGCUUGUAUGAAAGGCUGGACGAGGUAAAAUCUGUCUCUAUUUAAAUUAUAGUAGAAUUUAACUUUUAAGUUAAAAGGCUUAAAUAUUAUUAAAAGACGAGAAGACCCUAUAGAUCUUUAUAAUUUAUUAAAUGAAAUUAAUUUAGAAAUAUUAAUAUUUUAUUUAAUGUAAUUAUUUUAUUGGGGUAAUAAAAAGAUUGUAUUAAUUCUUUUUUAUAAUAAACAUUGAUUUAUGAAUAUUAAUGAUCCAGUUUUACUGAUUAUAAGAUUAAGUUACCUUAGGGAUAACAGCGUAAUUUUUUUAGAGAGUUCAUAUCGAUAAAAAAGUUUGCGACCUCGAUGUUGGAUUAAAGAUUAUUUUAGGUGCAGAAGCUUAAUAAUUUUGGUCUGUUCGACCAUUAAAUCUUUACAUGAUCUGAGUUCAGACCGGCGUAAGCCAGGUCGGUUUCUAUCUUUAAUAAAAUAAAAUAUUUUAGUACGAAAGGACCAAAUAUUUGGUAUAUUUAUAUUUAAUUUAUUGAAUAUUA
rnacentral:rRNA from 1 species